rnacentral:rRNA from 1 species
CUACGGGAUGCUGCAGUGGGGAAUAUUGCACAAUGGAGGAAACUCUGAUGCAGCAACGCCGCGUGGAGGAUGACACUUUUCGGAGCGUAAACUCCUUUUAUAUAGGAAGAAGAUGACGGUACUAUAUGAAUAAGCGCCGGCUAACUCCGUGCCAGCAGCCGCGGUAAUACGGAGGGCGCAAGCGUUACUCGGAAUCACUGGGCGUAAAGAGCGUGUAGGCGGAUUAAAAAGUCAGAAGUGAAAUCCUAUAGCUUAACUAUAGAACUGCUUCUGAAACUCUUAAUCUAGAAUGUGGGAGAGGUAGAUGGAAUUUCUGGUGUAGGGGUAAAAUCCGUAGAGAUCAGAAGGAAUACCGAUUGCGAAGGCGAUCUACUAGAACAUUAUUGACGCUGAGACGCGAAAGCGUGGGGAGCAAACAGGAUUAGAUACCCCCGUAGUC